GCAAGUCGAGCGCUCACCUUCGGGUGGGAGCGGCGGACGGGUUAGUAACGCGUGGGAACAUACCCUUUUCUACGGAAUAGACAUUGGAAACGAUGAGUAAUACCGUAUACGGCCUUCGGGCGAAAGAUUUAUCGGUGAAGGAUUGGCCCGCGUUAGAUUAGAUAGUUGGUGGGGUAACGGCCUACCAAGUCACCGAUCUAUAGCUGGUUUGAGAGGAUGAUC
rnacentral:rRNA from 1 species